CCUACGGGAGGCAGCAGUAGGGAAUCUUCCACAAUGGGCGAAAGCCUUAUUUAUCAACUCCUCUUUUUUUAAUAAUUUCUUCUUAUCUUAAAACCCUUUUUUUAGAUAAUAAAGUGCGUGAGAGUAACUGUUCACGUUUCGACGGUAUCUAACCAGAAAGCCACGGCUAACUACGUGCCAGCAGCCGCGGUAAUACGUAGGUGGCAAGCGUUAUCCGGAUUUAUUGGGCGUAAGGGGAACGCAGGCGGUCUUUUAAGUCUGAUGUGAAAGCCUUCGGCUUAACCGGAGUAGUGCAUUGGAAACUGGGAGACUUGAGUGCAGAAGAGGAGAGUGGAACUCCAUGUGUAGCGGUGAAAUGCGUAGAUAUAUGGAAGAACACCAGUGGCGAAAGCGGCUCUCUGGUCUGUAACUGACGCUGAGGUUCGAAAGCGUGGGUAGCAAACAGGAUUAGAUACCCGGGUAGUC
rnacentral:rRNA from 1 species